AGAGCCAGUUGAAACUGUUGGGGAAUC
rnacentral:piRNA from 1 species